rnacentral:snRNA from 1 species
UUGCUUCAGCAGCACAUAUACCAAAAUUGAAAUGAUACAGAGAUUUAGCAUGGCCCCUGUGCAAGGAUGACACACAAAUUUAUGAAGCACUCUGUAUUUUU